GUUGAUUUACAUGCACUAAUUGCUAGUUCCUAUUAAGCACUGAGUGGUCACCUACUCAGUAAUAUUCAUAAAUUAAUACUUUCAGAUAGCAGUUACUCAAAAAUAGUAGGAAACACUAAAUUCACUUUAGAUUUUAGCAAUGAAAUUGGAUUAUCCUUUUGUCUAGGAAACAGUUUGCUGGUUUGCUAUUCAAACAGAAUGACCAGAGUGAAAUUGUCAAAAGCUGUGCUGUUUUGUGUGUGUCUAUCAUGUAGAUAUUUGGCACAGACACUUCACAUGCAGGACAGGCUACCCUGGAGAUCUGAGGGCAACUUUCAGUACAAGCUGGAAAAACAGGUAUUCCAUGUUUUGCUUCAGUGACGGUGUGGAGGGAUUGUUCUAGGAAUAACAAGUUCCUCAAUUUUAAAGACUCAGUUCUGGAUCUGACUGCAGAAGAUAACAAUUUUUUGUUUUGUUACAGUGAUACUUGUCAGUGAAGAAUUUCCUGAUUUAUUUUCCCCUAAACAACCUCCCCCAACCCUCACAAGCACCUUUCCCUUCCUGUAAGGAAUUCUUGAUUCUGUAUAUAUAUAGUUUAAUUUUCUAGAAAAUUUAAAAACUAGCAAGAGAAAUAGAUUUAUACCUCUGUUUAGUUCUUUGUGGUUUGAGUAUGUUCAGAGAUGAGUCUCUAUGCUUCUCUUGCAAAGGUAUACAUGUGUAAGAUAUAACUGAAAGAAGCAUCACACCCUCCCAUGUGAUGGUAACAAAUACAGAUCUUAGAAAAUGCUUUUAAAAGUAAGUGUUAUUUCUCUUAUGCCCAGACACUUAUGCUCAGUUGAGGAGGCACAAAACCACAGCUGCAGGAAGUUCAAGUGAAACCUCAGUUUGCUCCUAGAAGUUUGUGAUUUUCAUAAUCUCAUCUGUGGCCACAGGACCUGAAGUCUGCUCCUGUCGUGUUUCUGUUGACUCCACUGAAAACAGACUGGAGUCCAAGAAGCCAUAAUUAAGGAGGAAGGAAGUGCAAAUGACUCCACAGGAUGACUCUGAAUUUACGACAUUGUUGUGGAAUAUUUCUGUACAGUUUUAAUGGUAAAUGUUGUCCUGCAUGAAGCAAACUACUAAUAACUCAGUCCAAUAAAUGUAAUUAGUUCUCUUUUUACCUAGUAUGUGUGUAUGUGUGCUGGUAACAAACACUGUUACUUGUUAUUACAGUAAUACUUCUAAUGUUAAUCAUUAUUAUCAGCUCAAACAGUACUUCAUCCCAAAAAGGUGUGUGAAAGUGUGCAUCAAUCUUAAGCCCAAAAGCAUUGUUGCAAAGAUUCUGAAUGUUGUCCCUCUUUCAUAGAAAGAUAAAACUAAAAAUAAAUUAUUUCAAUAGGAUAAAGACAAUUCACGCCAGCGCUCAGUGCUGGUCUGCAAUUUGAUACCUCACUAUCCAUUGGCUUUCUCCCCUUACCUUUACUAAAAUGUUUGCAAGAGUACAAAUCUCACAGAGAGCCUCCAAAUUAAAGCCAUAAAAGCCAGGUUCAUGGUUCUUGCUGAAAACAGCUGAGAUUUAAUUUUGGUCCAGUUUCAUUUUGAAUUUGUUUAAACCCAACUUUCCAAGCAAAAAUUAUAGUGGCAACAUUUAUAAAGGACAAGACCUAAAAGAAAUGUUCCUUAGGAGUAGCUGUAUCUCUUUAUAUGCCUUCAUAAUGAUAGAAGGCAAGUUAACAGUAUUGCAACUGCUGAAAUCUGAAUGCAUUCCACGUUCACUUUUUUUUUAAUAAGAACUGUAAAUAACGGGCCAUUUUUGUGUGUUAUAAAUGAUCCAUUCUGCAGUGCAAUGAUAGCUUCCUUUAGUUACAGCUUCUCUUGUAGCAAUAGACAGCUUAAAAAAAUCGUUCUUGCAGCAUACACAUAAUUUUAAAGAGGUGGAAUAAAGUUUUGGAACAAGUCCAUUCAUUUAAUUGAUACAAGGAUGACAAGUACUAGGAAUAUCUUUGGUGACCUAAAUCUCAUCUCGUACAGGAAGCUGCCUUAUCUUUUGGGGUUUCAGUUUGCACAUAGUAUUCUCUUCACAGGUAUUCCAUAUUCUAGAGAUUGCCUUUCUACUUAAAGCAGUAUUUUUUGCUUAUCCUCAGUGAUCAAAUCUCAUCAGUUGGAUGCUAAAGAAAUAUGAAGUAGAUUUAGAAAUAAUAAGAUCUUAAAAAUUAAUGAAGUCUAUAUGAAACAUUUCCCUCUGAAUUUGAAGUCUCUGAAGAAUCCUACUUUCCAGAUUUUUACUGGAAUCCUAAAGAGUAAUAUUAUUUUAAUUAAAGCACAAACUCCUGCUUAAUCACACAGCUUUGGAAGUUGCAAACUUAAAAACACAGCAAGGUUGAUGAUAUAAUUGAGGGGUCAAAAUAAUGUAGCCGUAUUAUUAGUACUGACCAGAGCAUUCUGGUGUUCUUAUAUUCUGAGCAGUUUUUAAGCAAACUAAACUUCCACUGUUCUAAA